rnacentral:rRNA from 1 species
AACGAACGCUGGCGGCAUGCCUAACACAUGCAAGUCGAACGCGUGGAGCGAUCCACGAGUGGCGCACGGGUGAGUAACGCGUGGGAACCUGCCCUGGAGUGUGGGAUAACCCGGCGAAAGCCGGGCUAAUACCGCAUACGACCUGAGGGUGAAAGAUUUAUCGCUCUAGGAGGGGCACGCGUCGGAUUAGCUAGUUGGUGAGGUAAUGGCUCACCAAGGCGAUGAUCCGUAGCUGGUCUGAGAGGAUUAUCAGCCUCACUGGGACUGAGACCCGGCCCAGACUCCUCCGGGAGCCAGCAUUGGGGAAUAUUGGACGAUGGGGGCAACCCUGAUCCAGCUAUGCCGCGUGGGCGAUGAAGGCCUUCGGGUUGUAAAGCCCUUUUGCACGCGACGAUGAUGACGGUAGCGUGAGAAGAAGCCCCGGCUAACUUCGUGCCAGCCGCCGCCGUAA